CGCCCCACCCACCCACUAUGCUCUCUUCCCCGAUCCCCUCCCAUGAACCCUAGCCUCCUGGUGCCGCCACCCCUCCCCCGUGGUUGGCCUCGACGAGCACGGCCUCGAUCCGGCCUCAGUAGGAAGACCUCGAGCCGAGGAGCGCGGCCUCGAUCGGGACUCGGCAUCUGGAGCAGCGACGGAGGAGGGGAAAGGAGGGGAGCAGCAGCCAGCAUCAGGGCGGCGGCGAGGGGAGCAUAGGCGGCUGCUCUGCUGCUGCUGCCAUCCGACCUUUCCCUCUCCCUCAGUUUCUCAACUCAGCAUGAGGAUCUUAGACCGGAGCUACAGGAGGGGGCGCCACCAACAUGUCUUCCGUCUCCGCGAGCCAACGACGACGAGGAGCUAUGGAGAGCCACCAUGGAUUCGCUGCUACAUCGACGCUUCAUCUCAAGGUGUCACAACAGAUGUUUGUGUAAAUACCCGAGAGGAAGACUUCUUGGGGAAGAUGUUGAUAUGUCUGUAUCUUCUUUUGUUUGAAAGGGGCUAGCUUUUACUGUGAAUCUCUAGGACAGUUUGGCACAUGAGGCAGUAGAGAUGGAUUAGUUACAAGGAUAUUAGGAGAGAAAAAAAUUUGGUGACUUUGACAAGCUUGGAUUGACAGAUCAUUCAUGCCAUGGUUGGAUGUGAAUAGGGCAGUGUACAUCCAAAAUUUGUUUGGUUGAUCAGACUAUUUGUUCGUUUGGCUGUCUUAAUGCAAUACCAUUUGCAUAAAUUUUGCAAACAUCAGCAAAGAUUUCAGCAGCAGGGAGUGUUUGCCGCAGUGGAAACGAAGCAAGAACUAGAAGGAGCUCAGGAUUUUGCUACUACGUUGCUAAAGCUUUGUGAGUGAAUGGUGGAUGAUCUUGAGAUAAAGGCUGGCUGGCUGUAGAUGGUCGCACUCGCACCUGUAGUACUAAGGAUGGAUGUCCUGGACGUGAUCUCAAGGCACGGGCCAAGUGUCAGCAUGGAGGACCUGGAACAGUAUGAAAGGUUCAAUGAGCAAUUCGGCAAGCAGGGUUGAUCAUGAAGAGAGAGAGAGAGUACUCCACUUGUACUGAAGAAAUACUGCACGAAUAUGGUUGGUUGUUGUGCCUUGGAAGAAGUUGGAUUCGCCGCGUCCCAAGUCGAGAGGUACCCAUUGCGGAUAAUACUCGUAAACAAACAAAUCCACCGGCGAGAAAUGCUUCAUAUGCUUCUUUUUUUGUUCGGUCGAUUCAGCUUCCUGAAUCUUGAGUGGUUUUCACCAUUGGGAAAUUCAAGCGACGGAAGGGGUAUCUGUGCUUUUGCACAAAGGUAUAACCAUAUAAGUGCAAUAUAAGGGCUAAUUAGAAGUAUAUACUGAGACAAAACAAGUUGCUGAGGAAACUGCUGCUGCAGCUGAAGAUGCAAAUAAUGUUCUCUGUAACCAAGUGGAACGCAAAAGGCAAUUCCUUUCAAUCCAUGGAACAAUGUGUGCGUUAGGCGAUAGCAAGGCCGUCGGACAAUCAUGAUGCUAUUUUCUUAUUUGAAAUCAGAAUGCUACUAGGACAGUCUUAAUUUUGGAAAAUCAGAUCAAACAAGAGAUAUGAUUGAUACCUGGUGAUACAAUUGGAGAAAGGGAUAUGAUAUGUCUGGCAAUGGUUUAGGAAGAUACAAUUGGUGUUCAGAUUGUUAGGUACGAGGAUCAUCAGUGGCCAUGCAGGAGCAACAACAGGAGAUAAUGCCCAGUUCGUGAAUUUAUUCUCUUAGCUUCGAGGCUUCCUGCUCAAGGUGCACGCUUCCUUCCUUUCCCCUCUUUUUUUGGCAAUUACUUCCUUUCCCCUCUGAUUUGACUUCAUUUGCCUUCUUGUGUGAAGUUGUGUACUUCCAAGUGUACAAAGCAGUAUCGUGUUGAGAUUCAGGAAAAUUGCUAAUUUAUAUUAGUAAUUAUGUAAUCAUGUACUAUGAACUUCCUCAAAUUAGCCGGUUAGUCUCGUGUGGACAUUUAUUUGCUGGUGAGGGAAGCAGUUUAACAUGUGUGUUUUCCCUAUGUUGGCAUCUGCUUCCUCAGAUAAUUGAUGUUAGUUAUCCACUUGCAGUAUAAAUAAUCUCUCUAAUCAGUAACGUUGUUAUUGUAAAUGGUCCCUGUAUUUUUUUUUGCAUAUUGCUAUUGUGAGUAAUAUUCCACCCAAAGAAUAAUAUUGUUAUAUCUCCAAUUUCUGCGUUGCAACAAUGGAUGGUUCUGCUUUAGGUCCUAUAGCUUUUUUUGAAGCUGUAGUUCCUUUAGCCUUUUGGUGUCAUGUCUUUCUGACUAUUGUAGCUAUACAAUUUGACAAUAUAUGCUCAAAUGUUAUGUGUUCUUUACCUUUAGAUUUAUCAGGUGAAGGGAUUAUCGAUCAUAUAAAUCCCGGCCCUGAGGCACUUGCCAUCGCUAAUCCUCCUCCAUCGUUCGAUUUUCUUUAGUGUGGCCCAGGCAAAUGAAGUGAGUUUUCCUCUGAUCAGCGUAUGAGAAUAACUUGACAUGCGGGGAGCGCUGUGAAAACCCUAGCCCCCAAUCCCCUUCCUUCCUCGAGCCCUGCACCCAACCAAUUCGCCUCUCCCCUCUUCUGUCGCCUUGCCCCUUCUCCUCUCGCCUCUUCUCCUCAAGCGCGCAGCUCUCCCUGCUAGCGAUCUCGCGCCACUGCCGCCCUUCGCCUCGCCCAUGCCCGAGCCCCCACCGCACAGCAAGAGGCAGGGAGGGCUGACGUCGGAGCCGGUGGUUGAGGUCACCUGCAAGGCUUCAGCGCAUGAAAACCUGCAACUGCUAUCAAGCAAACCACGGGUUACUAAACUUCUGAUUUGGUGAUGUAGACAUAGAUCUAGCUGGUCCCAAUUGCUGGAGUAUUUUAGUUCUAUUGAUUUGUAGCAUCUAUAUUAUUAGAUAUACACUUACGGAUGUGCUUCUUUAGUGUGCCUUCUCUCAUCUCACAGUAAAUUGUU